ensembl:lncRNA
CAGGUGGGAAACAGUCGAGGCUGGUCCUUUGGCAAAUGAGAGCAUCACCCUGAAUGGAGAAGACAGGAGCCAUUUCAGCACUGCUGCUCAUGGCAUAGGGUGGCCACGGCCAUGGAGGCAAGCCCUGAUGGGUUGAGACACCCUUGUGAGAGGUGCCUGGCAGCAGACUCCUCUGGAGGAGUGUUUUGCAGAGGCCACAGUGCAGCAAAACCUUUUAGGAGACUUGGCAGACCUCUCAGGAAGCCGAGGAUCACUGCAGUGAGCCCUCUCUUGUCUCCUCAUCACCUGGAGGCAGCUCAAGGAGUGCCACACGCCAGAGCAGGAGGGAUGGCUGGAGCUGUUCUCAUGGCAGAAGUGACCGGCGGGAUGCCUCACAGGCAUCACUGGGCUGCAGCCACAAAGCCAGAAGUGCCUGAGUUGGCCUCCUGCUUCUACCCAAGAAAAUCAAAGCAUGCUCCCAUGAGGAUGCGGGUGAGAGUGAAUAAAGCUGACUACUCAUUAAGUGCAGCAGAGAGAGGAAACUGCAUCUAAAUCACCACUACAUUAACGAGUGCACAGAGGCUGGUUUGUGCCCCAGACGUGAUGGAAGAACUUUGUCACCAAGCUGUGCACAGCACUGUUUGCUUUCAGCAGUGCUGAGCAGCCCAGACAGGGCACUGCACUGGUGCAGCCACCUUCUUCUGGGACCUGGAGCUCUGCACUUUGUGGCACAGAUGUGGUUGGUGAUCCAGCUGCCAGAGACGUGGGUGACUACAAUAAUUUCCUGCAUGGCAGCUGACAGGAUAAUACUGAAAAAGAAAGGAGGAUCAGCUGCUUUCAGCCCAUGAGUUCAAGAAGAGCCUAAUCUAAUUAAGUGGAGACCACUAUCAAAUUACCAGCUCUCUUUUAACGUAGCCAUUUUAAGUGGUUUAGUGUAUUUAUAGCAGGUGAGUUAGGGAGGGCUUUUCUCCCUUGAGGUUAUAUUUGUGUGUAAGGGAGAGAUGUAUAAUGUUGAGACUUUUGCUUUGAAUUACUUCUCAUCCCUAGCCUAGAAAAUAUUUUGCUCAAGUUUAAGAUAUCAAAAUCUGAUCCCAGCUAGUCUCUUCCUAUGCCUGUGACUGGAAUGUCUGUCUGGCCUGUUCCUGAGUCUUGCUUCAAGCCAGCAGCCCAGAAGUUUCCUUUGGGGAUUAAGCUUUCCUUAAAGCAAACCCUUGUGCAUCUAUCUUGGGUCAGUCGACAGCCUUGAAAGGGCAAGAGGAGGGGCAGGCUGGCUAUGGUCAGAAGUCAGCAGCCUUUUCCUGCUGAACUUUGACGGGAGUGGCAUGGAUCUGUCACCAGUCAUUAGAGAGUGAGUGGAGAGGUUCUCAGCCCCACAGCCCAGCAUGGUUGAUGGAGUGGCCCCAAUUUGUCUUCCACUGAUUAGUGUCUCUGGCAGCCUGCAGCCCGCUCCCUGUAAUUCCAUCUCAGGGGGAGCUCCUGUGUGGCAGGAUCUGUGUCAGAUGAUCCCCUAGGCUCAAAGGAGGGAGGAGAUGGGAAAUGCUCGUUAGGAGUUGUUUCCAUGCAUAACAACAGUAAUAAUCCUUAGCCUUUUAUCUAAAGCUUUUACAAAUGUUAAUUCAUUAACCUCUUUCAAUCACCCUCUGAGGUGAGGAUUGUUAUCCACGGGAUUGGACAGAUGGGAGAAGCUGAGAUGUGGAGUGCCCAGCCUGAGGCUGUGGGACAAGUCACUCAGUGCCAUCAGGUCCUCCUUUGCCCUCCAAAAACUUGUCUCUCCUCUCCUGAUGAGGGGUGGGCUGGCUUCUACAGGUCACCCUGUCUCUGACAAGAGGAAACCUGGCUGUCAAUGCUUGCUGUUUGUCUCUGGCUGCAGAAGAGCUUUUCAAGAGGAGCUGGCACACUGAGCCUUGUGCCUGUGUGUCAUCGCAGACUGCCCCCAAGAGAGGGCUUGACCUGCACCACACAUGGGCCAUGGCACUGCCCUUCCUCCAGGUGCUGAGGCCCCCAGUGUGUUCUGUGUCUGUCAGGUCACCUAUGUUAUUGCUUGUAAGCAGAGAGGGAAGAAGGAGGGGAGAGAGAGACAUAGAGAAAGGGAACAAAGC